GGUUAAGCGACUAAGCGUACACGGUGGAUGCCCUGGCAGUCAGAGGCGAUGAAGGACGUGCUAAUCUGCGAUAAGCGUCGGUAAGGUGAUAUGAACCGUUAUAACCGGCGAUUUCCGAAUGGGGAAACCCAGUGUGUUUCGACACACUAUCAUUAACUGAAUCCAUAGGUUAAUGAGGCGAACCGGGGGAACUGAAACAUCUAAGUACCCCGAGGAAAAGAAAUCAACCGAGAUUCCCCCAGUAGCGGCGAGCGAACGGGGAGCAGCCCAGAGCCUGAAUCAGUAUGUGUGUUAGUGGAAGCGUCUGGAAAGGCGCGCGAUACAGGGUGACAGCCCCGUACACAAAAAUGCACAUAUUGUGAGCUCGAUGAGUAGGGCGGGACACGUGGUAUCCUGUCUGAAUAUGGGGGGACCAUCCUCCAAGGCUAAAUACUCCUGACUGACCGAUAGUGAACCAGUACCGUGAGGGAAAGGCGAAAAGAACCCCGGCGAGGGGAGUGAAAAAGAACCUGAAACCGUGUACGUACAAGCAGUGGGAGCCUCUUUAUGGGGUGACUGCGUACCUUUUGUAUAAUGGGUCAGCGACUUAUAUUCUGUAGCAAGGUUAACCGAAUAGGGGAGCCGAAGGGAAACCGAGUCUUAACUGGGCGUUAAGUUGCAGGGUAUAGACCCGAAACCCGGUGAUCUAGCCAUGGGCAGGUUGAAGGUUGGGUAACACUAACUGGAGGACCGAACCGACUAAUGUUGAAAAAUUAGCGGAUGACUUGUGGCUGGGGGUGAAAGGCCAAUCAAACCGGGAGAUAGCUGGUUCUCCCCGAAAGCUAUUUAGGUAGCGCCUCGUGAAUUCAUCUCCGGGGGUAGAGCACUGUUUCGGCAAGGGGGUCAUCCCGACUUACCAACCCGAUGCAAACUGCGAAUACCGGAGAAUGUUAUCACGGGAGACACACGGCGGGUGCUAACGUCCGUCGUGAAGAGGGAAACAACCCAGACCGCCAGCUAAGGUCCCAAAGUCAUGGUUAAGUGGGAAACGAUGUGGGAAGGCCCAGACAGCCAGGAUGUUGGCUUAGAAGCAGCCAUCAUUUAAAGAAAGCGUAAUAGCUCACUGGUCGAGUCGGCCUGCGCGGAAGAUGUAACGGGGCUAAACCAUGCACCGAAGCUGCGGCAGCGACACUAUGUGUUGUUGGGUAGGGGAGCGUUCUGUAAGCCUGUGAAGGUGUGCUGUGAGGCAUGCUGGAGGUAUCAGAAGUGCGAAUGCUGACAUAAGUAACGAUAAAGCGGGUGAAAAGCCCGCUCGCCGGAAGACCAAGGGUUCCUGUCCAACGUUAAUCGGGGCAGGGUGAGUCGACCCCUAAGGCGAGGCCGAAAGGCGUAGUCGAUGGGAAACAGGUUAAUAUUCCUGUACUUGGUGUUACUGCGAAGGGGGGACGGAGAAGGCUAUGUUGGCCGGGCGACGGUUGUCCCGGUUUAAGCGUGUAGGCUGGUUUUCCAGGCAAAUCCGGAAAAUCAAGGCUGAGGCGUGAUGACGAGGCACUACGGUGCUGAAGCAACAAAUGCCCUGCUUCCAGGAAAAGCCUCUAAGCAUCAGGUAACAUCAAAUCGUACCCCAAACCGACACAGGUGGUCAGGUAGAGAAUACCAAGGCGCUUGAGAGAACUCGGGUGAAGGAACUAGGCAAAAUGGUGCCGUAACUUCGGGAGAAGGCACGCUGAUAUGUAGGUGAAGCGACUUGCUCGUGGAGCUGAAAUCAGUCGAAGAUACCAGCUGGCUGCAACUGUUUAUUAAAAACACAGCACUGUGCAAACACGAAAGUGGACGUAUACGGUGUGACGCCUGCCCGGUGCCGGAAGGUUAAUUGAUGGGGUUAGCCGCAAGGCGAAGCUCUUGAUCGAAGCCCCGGUAAACGGCGGCCGUAACUAUAACGGUCCUAAGGUAGCGAAAUUCCUUGUCGGGUAAGUUCCGACCUGCACGAAUGGCGUAAUGAUGGCCAGGCUGUCUCCACCCGAGACUCAGUGAAAUUGAACUCGCUGUGAAGAUGCAGUGUACCCGCGGCAAGACGGAAAGACCCCGUGAACCUUUACUAUAGCUUGACACUGAACAUUGAGCCUUGAUGUGUAGGAUAGGUGGGAGGCUUUGAAGUGUGGACGCCAGUCUGCAUGGAGCCGACCUUGAAAUACCACCCUUUAAUGUUUGAUGUUCUAACGUUGACCCGUAAUCCGGGUUGCGGACAGUGUCUGGUGGGUAGUUUGACUGGGGCGGUCUCCUCCUAAAGAGUAACGGAGGAGCACGAAGGUUGGCUAAUCCUGGUCGGACAUCAGGAGGUUAGUGCAAUGGCAUAAGCCAGCUUGACUGCGAGCGUGACGGCGCGAGCAGGUGCGAAAGCAGGUCAUAGUGAUCCGGUGGUUCUGAAUGGAAGGGCCAUCGCUCAACGGAUAAAAGGUACUCCGGGGAUAACAGGCUGAUACCGCCCAAGAGUUCAUAUCGACGGCGGUGUUUGGCACCUCGAUGUCGGCUCAUCACAUCCUGGGGCUGAAGUAGGUCCCAAGGGUAUGGCUGUUCGCCAUUUAAAGUGGUACGCGAGCUGGGUUUAGAACGUCGUGAGACAGUUCGGUCCCUAUCUGCCGUGGGCGCUGGAGAACUGAGGGGGCUGCUCUAGUACGAGAGGACCGGAGUGGACGCAUCACUGGUGUUCGGGUUGUCAUGCCAAUGGCACUGCCCGGUAGCUAAAUGCGGAAGAGAUAAGUGCUGAAAGCAUCUAAGCACGAAACUUGCCCCGAGAUGAGUUCUCCCUGAGACUUAGAGUCUCCUGAAGGAACGUUGAAGACGACGACGUUGAUAGGCCGGGUGUGUAAGCGCAGCGAUGCGUUGAGCUAACCGGUACUAAUGAACCGUGAGGCUUAACCUU
rnacentral:rRNA from 1 species